rnacentral:snRNA from 1 species
GUGCUCACUUCGGCAGCACAUGUAUGACACAGAGAACAAUGCGAAGAAGAUUAGGAUGGCCCCUGUGCAAGGAUACAUGCAAAUUCAGUUUAUGUAUCUAUAU